GUCAUGAUAUAAUGGUCUGGAUCCCAAUAGCAGAAGUCAUUGUAUAAUGUUUAUGUUUGAGUUUAUAUUAAUUUGCGCAGGCCACGUUGAUUAGGUAUACUGUAUUUUCGUAUAAUGAAGUAAUCGUCCACUCGGGAUAGCCGAGGAUAAACGUGCAAUUACGAUGUCUAAUAAAGUUGAGACAAAGGAUUUUUGCAUGGUGAGGUACAGUUCAACAUCAAACAACGGUCUUCUAUUUUGUGGCUUUGAUAUUUGCGAACUUCCAGACCAUCAUAUUUUGAAAGACGGUUUAAUACAAAGUGAACUUGAUUGUCAACAUCAAACGUCUUAAAUAUAAAUACUGUAUAUAUUCCACUAUAGGAAAUAGUACAGCUUACAACAAUUAUCUCUAUGAUAUCGAUUGUCUUUAAUGUUAAAGAACAAUGACGUAAAGUUUAGAGUUCGAACAAAAUGUAAAUAUUAACUAUAGACUACAUAUCUACUAUCGU